rnacentral:lncRNA from 1 species
UAUUCAUUCCUGCUUCCUCCUACUUGCUCCACACAUUGCCAUACAUUUGGUCUGUUAGGAGUUCCUCCUUCACACUUCCACCUCUACUUCCCCUAAAUCCGUGGAAGAGGGAAAGUUAUUCUCAUGCAAAUGCAGACACGUACAGGUCAAAUCGGAUGUCUGCUGUCCUACAAGAAGAAUUUGGAAGAUCAAAGAAUUCAGAUCAGCUUUUCCCAGGGAGAGAGAGAUGUUCAAAGUUAAGUGGGUGGAUGGAAGAAUUUGAGGAAGCAUGAACUUUUGCUCAGAAAAUUUAACAACUGAGGGAUGGAUGGAGGAAUGGACAUACAAAUAGACUGACAAGUACAAAUACUCGAUGCUAACAAGCAUUUCCGGCUGGACGCUGCACUAGAACAUCACAAUAGUCUCUUUUUUUAUACCAAUCUGCAAGCUGUCUAUACUCAUGCAAAUACAGAAUUUACAUGUUGAAAGAUGGUUACAGGAGUAUGUAAACCAGAUUGUAUUACAGCACAUAUUUUCAUACACUUAAUUACAGCAAGUUGACUUCUAACGCUUUGAUUUCCUAUGUGGCCUUCCCAAAAAUACAACAUACAUGGCUAAAUAUUUCAGAAAUAGCCAAAGGAAAUUAUUUUUGGACUCUACAUUGAUCUUCUUAAUAACUGGUACCCCUCUAACCAGGAAACAUUCAGAUUUGGUUAUUUCAGUGGACAGCAGUUAGCUAUCCUCAGCUUUUUUCACUGUUACCAUAUUUCUACCCAGAAGAAUAUACUAGAUGAUACUUAAAGGAUGACAAUUAUUACAGAUUAAAUAAUCUCUUCUAAUAACUUGGCUUCCUUUGUUUUGUGAUUAUAUGACAAGUUGUUCUAAUUGUCCAAAACUAGUUGAUGAAAUUAUUUCUUGAACAUCAGUAACUAUAAUGUGGCAUGCAAGCAGAUGCAGGUAAAAUUGAGUCAGUGUUUUAAAUCAUGUAAUCUCAUUUCUAGUCUUUUUUUUAACCACUCUAGCACUUUUGUGUAGGUUCUUUGGUGAGUUAGAGACACAAGAAGAAAGGAAAAUGUUUCAGAAGGAUUUCAAGAUAACUGAUUUUUCUUUGUGUUCUGAACUGGAAAAAAUGACAAAAUAUUUCUAAAUUUCCACAUAGGAAAACGGUUACUGAGAAUCAGUUUAGGUCUGGGCAAUGGGAUUUUUGUCUCAGUAAGUUAUGUUAACUAAAUUUACUUCUGAAGCAUGAAAAAAAUAAACUUUUUUUCUGACUCA